rnacentral:rRNA from 1 species
AGAAUCAACGCUGGCGGCGUGCCUAACACAUGCAAGUCGAACGAGAAAGUGGAGCAAUCCAUGAGUAAAGUGGCGCACGGGUGAGUAACACGUGACUAACCUACCUUUUAGUGGGGAUAACCUAGGGAAACCUGGGCUAAUACCGCAUAACACUUACGAGUCAAAGCAGCAAUGCGCUGAAAGAGGGGGUCGCGGCCGAUUAGCUAGGUUGGCGGGGUAAUGGCCCACCAAGGCAGUGAUCGGUAU